CAACCCUCAAGCUUCGCUUGGUGUUGGGGCGCAGCCCGUGAAAGGGCUGGCCCUGAAAUUCAGUGGCGGGCUCGCUAAGACUCUGAGCGUAGUAAUCUUACCACCUCGCUUCUGACGGAUUAGCGGUGUCCAGCCGUAAAACCCCCCAAACUUCUGAA
rnacentral:misc_RNA from 1 species